rnacentral:rRNA from 1 species
AUGAGCCAUCAGAUCGAUCUGAAGACGAGCGCCUGCACCAUGGCCGCCGCCGGCGGCGACGACGACUGGGUGUACAUCGACGGUGACCAAGAGACGAAGGCUCCGGCUGUCGUAUGUGCCUCCGAUAGCCUCGACGAGUCGGAGCAUUGCGCAUUCGACUUGAAGCUACUUGCCGAUCUCGACUACCUCGCAAGGAAAAAGGAUUCCCGGAUCAGGAUGGAUGGGGCGACGGAGGUGGUGGCUGCCGCGGACGCUGCCGGUGAUGGCGCAGCGGAUGAGGCCGACGCCGCGGAAGAUGAAGACGACUGCCCUGGCUACUCCAACGGAGGCCGCCUCGAGAAAGACUACGAGUCGGACCAAGACCUCGGUCAAGUCGAGGACGAGUCCGAGCGGCAUGAGGAUGGGACGUCCGACCUGAGGCUGAGGGGACUGCUCGACAACCUCAAGACCAUCGAGAGUAAACUGCUCGACUGCCAGAGGGAACUGCUCGACUGCCAAAAGUCCAUCCAAGACCACCGCAAAGCUACACGCGACGAGUCCGCCCCCGCGCCGGCACCGGCGCCGUCAGCGCACGGCUACAACGCUCGCCCCGCAGCCUACAUAGCAGGACUCUCUGCCUCGUCGUACACCUCUUACGACGGCUACCGCAGCGGAGGUUACAGCACCAGCUCUGGCUAUGAUGCCAACGGCUACGGCGGCGGAGGUUAUGACGGCGGCCUCUCAGACUAUGACUACGGCGGCGGACGUGGAGGUUACUACCGCGGCAUCUCGGGCUAUGACUACGGCGGCCUAGGUUACUACUACUACCUCUUAGGCUAUGACUACGGCAUGGGCGGCAGAGGAGGUUACGGCAUCGGCUUUGGCCAUCGCUACGGUGGCGGCGGAGGCUACGGCGGCAUCUUGGACUAUGGAUAUCGCUAUGGCCGCAACGUAGGUCAUUACUUUGACUUUGACUACGGUGGCCUUGGAGAUAAUUACAGCGGCAGCUCUGGCAAUAGCUACGGUUACCGCCCUGAAGACUAUGGCGGCUGGAUGUUGUCCUUGGUCGUCACCGAUGCCCGAGGCGCCGGCGGCGGAGCCUGA